CUCUCACAUUCCCGCGUGCUUAUUUCGAUUUCCUCUGGGAUUGCCGACUGCAAAAGGAGCUCAAUCUCCUCCUCACCGACUCUCCACCUCUUCUUUCAUGCACCACUCUGAAUCGAAUCACUAGCUCUAUCUCUCUCUCUCUCUCCAACACAUCCCAUUCUGAUUCCCCCCAAUCCCAUUCCUGAUGGCAACCAAGCCCAAAAUCCUCUUCAUCGGCAGCACCGGAAAGUUUAUCGUCGAGGCCAGCGCCAAGGCCGGCCACCCCACCUACUUUCUGAUCCGAGAAACUAUCUCUCCAACCCGGCAAAGUCCAAAGUCCUCGAGAACUUCAAGGAUUUGGGCUGAAAUAUUUGUCUCUUCAAGUAGGAGAAAGAGAAGGAUCCGAAUGGGAGCAAGGCACGACAUGGAACAAGCAAGCUCAUGAGAAUGUUAACGUUCAAGGGACUCGGGGGAGGGUGACUGAUCAUCUGAAAAAACUGAGAUUAAACUGAGAAAUUUGAAAAUCCUUGUUCAAGAUUUUGCUUGAAAUCGUGGUUUGGGAUUAAAUAGCAGGGUCAGAUCCAGUACUCCGAGAAGUACUUUGAUGAUAUCUACGAGUACAGGCAUGUGGCUAAACUGCUCCCAAAAAAUGGGCUUCUCUGCUAGGGAUGGGUCUUCUUCUUCAGCUUAGUGGGCACCGUACCUUUAGCAGAGCGUCUAGGGCAUCGCAUGUUCAACUUAACAUCACAAGUAAAUUGCAUUGGUUCUUUCCAUUGAAUUUGUGCUUUGGCCUUGCUUAACUGAAGUCCUUCUCGAGAGACUUGGAGCACCAGAUUGUCCUUACUUUAUGAAUACUCAAAGAUGCAAAUUUGUAUGAGGUGCAAGUUUAAUCAUCCAAAGGACAAAGUGAGUAUACCAUAGUACUGCAACUUUCCAUAAAGUGGUUCCAGUGAUAUAGUUUCGUAUAUAAUACUCAUACACUCUCUUUUACUAAUUUUUGUUACACAAUCAAUCACUCACAUGUCAUACUAUUCAUAGAGCGGUGCAAAGAAUUCAAAGAGCUUCAUUCUUGCUCUACUUCGAAUCGAAACCAAAUCCUGCGUAUCCAAAUUUUGUCACCCUUUCAUUCCCCCCUCCUCCACCUCUUCAUCCUUGCUCUACCGCGAAUCGAAACCAAAAAGUUGCUCAUCCAAAUCAAUUUCGGUUCACUCAAAUCCUUAGAACCCUAAAACCCAAAUUUCUCCAGAUCAUUCCAAAAUUCAACGGCAAACACAAAACCCAGAUCCCUAAACUCACUCGAUAACGUGUCAAAGGUUCGGCAUCCGGUUCUCUCACGUGGCUCCCGUUGGAUCCAGUGUGCUUUUGCUGCUGCCAAUCUACAGGAACCCAUAAACAAGUACGAGGAAGUGUGUGAAUCAUCACUCAGCAAGGGUGAUUGGCGAUAGAAAUUGGGUUAUUCCAUUCAUUACUGGCUUUAUCAUAUUCAUUACCCUCUUUUUCUUAAAAGGGUUUUGGCUUUGGAAGGAGAUGGAGAUCGGUGAGAAUGAUCGGAGUUCGUCGCUGUGUGGAUGAUCCCCGCAUUUCAAAACACACUUCGUCCCCGAAUUCCAAUUCAUUGUUCCCCAUAAUCCAAUGGCUUAGCCAUAACAUA